rnacentral:pre_miRNA from 1 species
AGCCUUUCGAGUCCAUACUGAGAUUUCGUUGGACAAUAGACCAUUAGGACUGGUGAGACUCCUAAGAUAAGUAAAGAG